UACGGAGGGGGCAAGCGUUGCUCGGAAUUACUGGGCGUAAAGGGCGCGUAGGCGGCCUUCUAAGUCGGACGUGAAAUCCCCGGGCUCAACCCGGGAACUGCGUCCGAUACUGGAAGGCUUGAAUCCGGGAGAGGGAUGUGGAAUUCCAGGUGUAGCGGUGAAAUGCGUAGAUAUCUGGAGGAACACCGGUGGCGAAGGCGGGUCUCUGGACAGGUCCUGACGCUGAGGCGCGAAGGUGAGGGGAGCAAACGGG
rnacentral:rRNA from 1 species